rnacentral:rRNA from 1 species
UCGCCGGCGACCGGCGCACGGGUGAGUAACACGUAUGCAACCUGGCCGUGACAGAUGGAUAACCGGGAGAAAUCCCGCCUAAUACAACAUAAUGCCGGGAGGGGACAUCCCCUGCCGGCCAAAGGGGGCGACCCCGGUCACGGAUGGGCAUGCGGCGCAUUAGGUAGUUGGUGGGGCAACGGCCCACCAAGCCGACGAUGCGUAGGGGUUCUGAGAGGAAGGUCCCCCACAUUGGAACUGAGACACGGUCCAAACUCCUACGGAAGGCAGCAG